rnacentral:rRNA from 1 species
CCCUUAGAUGUUCUGGGCCGCACGCGCGCUACACUGAUGCAUUCAACGAGCCUAUCCUUGACCGACAGGUCCGGGUAAUCUUUGAAUCUGCAUCGUGACGGGGAUAGAUUAUUGCAAUUAUUAAUCUUCAACGAGGAAUGCCUAGUAGGCGCAAGUCAUCAGCUUGCGUCGAUUACGUCCCUGCCCUUUGUACACACCGCCCGUCGCUCCUACCGAUUGGGUGUGCUGGUGAAAUGUUCGGAUCGGCCGUUUGUCGCGGUUUCCGCGUCAUGUGGCUGAGAAGUUCAUUAAACCCUCCCACCUAGAGGAAGGAGAAGUCGGAACA